GAACAGACGAGGAGCUUGCUCCUUUGACGUUAGCGGCGGACGGGUGAGUAACACGUAGGUAACCUACCUAUAAGACUGGGAUAACUUCGGGAAACCGGAGCUAAUACCGGAUAAUAUUUCGAACCGCAUGGUUCGAUAGUGAAAGAUGGCUUUGCUAUCACUUAUAGAUGGACCUGCGCCGUAUUAGCUAGUUGGUAAGGUAACGGCUUACCAAGGCAACGAUACGUUGCCGACCUGAGAGGGUGAUCGGCCACACUGGAACUGAGACACGGUCCAGACUCCUACGGGAGGCAGCAGUAGGGAAUCUUCCGCAAUGGGCGAAAGCCUGACGGAGCAACGCCGCGUGAGUGAUGAAGGUCUUCGGAUCGUAAAACUCUGUUAUUAGGGAAGAACAAACGUGUAAGUAACUGUGCACGUCUUGACGGUACCUAAUCAGAAAGCCACGGCUAACUACGUGCCAGCCGCCGCGGUAA
rnacentral:rRNA from 1 species